rnacentral:sRNA from 2 species
CCGAAGGGUCGCUAGGGUUCCGGUCGCGCUGCGCGCGAUGUCUGGUCCAAGAGCAACCGGCCUCAGGCGCGCUCGACCGCGUCCAGGCUCCACGGCGGGACAAAAGCCCGGGAGGU